UGCUCUUCAAUCACGUCCAGAACUUGGUGGUGAUUCAGUUCCUGUUCGUGGAUCUCUUCUCUUGGAGAAGGUUGUUGCUGCCCAAAACCACCUAAAAUCGAGAAAAGAGAAAAGUCCAUUAUAAAGAUUAUAAAGUUUCUUACCAAAAUUUUGUUGUUGCUGCUCACGAUUUUGAGUCUGUUGAUUGUCAUUUCCACCUAAAUUGAAGAGUGUUAAACCUCCACAAAAAAAAAAGCUUUGAAUUACCAAAAGAAACAAGAUGGCAAUCUUGAAGAUCCAAUAGAUCUUCAUUUAAAGGUUUACCAGCCUCAUAGCACCGUACAAUAUACUCCGAUGCUUUCUGAAAUUUGUCUUGGUAGUUUUUCAAACGACCAGUAUGAUCAUACCAGUUAUACAGAAUAGAUGACAUUGCCAUUCUCCUUGCUUUCCCAGAGUGAUCGUACCUGUUAAAAAAAGAGGCAUUAAUGACAAAAUGGUUAGCAAAAACCUUACUGUUCCAUGUUUUCCACCCUCUUGUGUCCCAUCAGCUUCAUAUAGUCUUUCAUUGGAGUGUUGCAAACACUCAUAGUUGUAAUUGCUGAAUGCCGAAUAUCUUUCGCUGAAAGGCUCAAACCUGGAGAAAAAAAACUAUGAGAAAACAAGAAAGCAGUUAGUUAAUUACCUGUUUUUUUGGCAACCAAUUUUACUACUUCAGAGAUCUUAUGCUCUCCUAUCCGUGCCACUCGACAGUACCAAUUAUCAGUCCUGUUGAAACAGUCGUUACAAGCCAGGAAAAACGGCCGCUUGUUCAAGUCCUCCCCAUCACCAACUGUUGGAUGCUUAUCAAAAAAAAGCUUGAAUGCCUUGUAGACUGAGGGAGCAGCUAUUUCAUAGAGAUCCACAGCAGGCUGCUGAUCCAUGUUCUUACAAUUCAUCAGAUCCACUUCGUAGUUUUUGGAAACACGUUGGUUGAAUUUGAGAUAAAAAAAAUUCUGAUUAGAACCAAUAAGAACAAAGAAAACAAAUAAGAAACUACUCAAUUGAAUAUAGCAACCAACAACAUCUUCCAAAAGUGUAAAAUCAGUGAAUCGCAAGUCGUACAAUUCCUUCCUCCCAUGUACAAGAAAGAAAUUCAUGCAGAAUAGUAAGACUAACCGAAACAGUCCAUUAGGACUGUUAGGUAGAAACUCUGGCAAUGUGAGAACUGCCUUAAGCUCAGCCAUCCACAAGUACACAUGCUUUGACCCUGUACUUGUUGGCCUUGUAGUUUCUAGUGUUGCUUUUCAAAUUACAUGGCUAGCAGCGUUCCUAGAAUAAACAAACCAAACCAAACAUAUUAGAACACAAACCACAACAAAAAGAACAAAAAAAGCAAGAUACCUUGCUGUAAGAAACCUUGGAUCAUUCAGGAUGUCAACUUCUUCUUCCAAAACUCCUGUUCUUGCAACUCAGGCUUCUCUUGCCAGCUUCAAUACUCGGUUAAAGCAAAAAAACAUAUCCCUUAGAGUUGUUGGAGGGUAAGGCUUCCCAUCGUCUCUCAAAACAUGCUUGUAGAACAAUGCAAGCUGGUGGGAAAGCUCCUACAGUCAGAGAAAGAUGUAGUCACAAAAAUCAAAAGAAAAAAUAAGAAACAACCUUUGCAGGAAGUUCCUCAAUCAGUCUCAGAUCCUGUAAGGAAAAUUCUGGGCCCUGUGCCUCGUGCCAUGCAUAAAACUUCUAUGUUGCCUACUCAUUCUUCUUUCGGGUCCCUGCUGGUAUAACUAGUUUCAUGGAUUCUCGUCCUCCUCAUUCGGAACAAUUGGUCGAAAAGGUUGGCGGCCAACCUGCAUCAACAAACAAUUUCAACCUGGAGUAUCUAAGCAAAAAGCACUUACCUCUCUCCGACCACGCCCACCACGCCCACCACGCCCACUGCGAUUCCUCCCAGGACAAACCUAUCAAACUCAAACGAUUGCAAGUGAGUAAACAAGAAUACAUAAAAACUAGAGAACCGAAUUCAAGAAAGGAGCUGCGUUCUCAACAAGAUCAGCGGCAUUCUGGGACAAUCCCAGAUCAAAUGAAGGAGGAUCCAUCUACAGAUAGACAAAAUCGAGAGGAUUGAGAAGGAAAAACUAUGAAAUCCAGAGAAAACCAGGAAAUGAGGGCAAACCAGGAUUAUCAGCUCUCAAGCUGCUCUCGACGCAUACAAGCUCCUGCUGCCUUGAGCGCCACAAGAAACUGCUGCAAAAUUCCUGAAACACACGGACAAGGAGCAGAUCUGGAUCAAUCUAGUUGCUAUGCCUCAGAUCUGACCUUGGCAAGCUGCUGCUGCCCUGCCGCUGCUGCUGACGCCUUGCCGCUACUGCUUUGUCGCUGCCAUUGCCGCUUCUGAGAGAAUCCGACAGCCUCACGGCGUCGGCACAAAAAACCCUAAAACCCUAGAAAACAUGUUAUAUGUGACUUUUAGCCACGUGUUCUAUGUUCAUUCGACCGCUCUCAUCCUCGAAUAACGUUAUUCCAUGUGUCCGUUAACGGUCUCGCCACAGCUUGUUAAGGCUGUUCCCGGGCACGGGCUUGCACGUUCCCUCCAGAACGCGCUUGCCGGGCUAACGCCCGGCUCGCCCGUUCUAGGCGGGAACGUGCUCGCCCUACUUAGGAACUCCUUCUUAACGGGCUGUGGCUCGCCCGUUAACUUGAUCCAGCCGUUGGCAGCCGUCGGAUCAAGUCAAGCUCUCUACGAGAAUUUUACUGUUGUCAGCCACAUUCUGGAGAACGUGGUUGACAGCUACCAAAUUCUCGAGAACCCACCUGCCAGCCGCCAGGUUCUGGAGAACGUGGCUGCUGUCAUCCAGGUUCUAGAGAACUUGGCUGCCAGUAACCACGUUCUCCAAUCAGACGAGAUGCAAUUGCUUUUUUAUUUUUUAAUCAAAGCAAGCUUGAAUAAUUCAAGCUCACUUUGGCUAUGACCAUUGACUACAAUCACAUAAUUACUCACAGAACAGUGGUGAAAUGUGCUAGUGAUCGUUGGUAGUGCUAAAGCUUUUACAGCUCUUGGAUCUUUCGCAAGAGCUAAAAGUAGCUCAUUGUCAUCAAGAUCUACCAAAUAACAUCAAAAGUUAGAAAUAAAGAAUUCAAAUCAAAUAAACUUUAACUUUGUCUCUAGAAAUGGAUUCCUGCUGCUCGCCAUGCUCCAGCAUAGGCUCUGGCAUAGUCUCGUGCACAGUCUCGUGUUGCUUGUCGUGUCCACCUGAAACGAAGAAAAAACUAAAUUGAAAGACAAAAGGAAAGAAAGAAUUUUCUUACCUUACUGCUCUUCAAUCACGUCCAGAACUUGGUGGUGAUUCAGUUCCUUUUCGUGGAUCUCUUCUCUUGGAGAAGGCUGUUGCUGCCCAGAACCACCUAAAAUCGAGAAAAGAGAAAAGUCCAUUAUAAAGAUUAUAAAGUUUCUUACCAAAAUUUUGUUGUUGCUGCUCACGAUUUUGAGUCUGUUGAUUGUCAUUUCCACCUGAAUUGAAGAGUGU
rnacentral:lncRNA from 1 species